GUUAAUGAAUAAAGAAACUGUCUUGGCCUAAUAGGGUAAAACUUAGGUAGAAGGGGAAGACUAAACCAAAUGCUGGGAGAAAGAAUGACAGAGACAGGAAAAGCCAUGGAGCCUCAGGAGACAGACGCUGGGAAUUUUAGCUGGGCUGAGCACCUGGGAACCAAGUGAUUCCUUGCAACAAAUCGAAUGAUACGAAGAGUAAAUAUUGUCAGUAACCCUCCAGACCACAACAAGACACAGUUGACAAUGUCUCUAGCAGAUGUGUAUAAUGUCAAUAUUAUCUUUAAGAGUGAGUAUCACUGGGAAUAUAGCUCUGUAGUACAGUGUAUGCCUAGCACAUAUAGGCUCUCAUAUGACUAUCAUUCCACCAAAAAUAAAAAUG